AAGGAAGCUUAUUUUAUUUCCAUUUUUGUUAGUUUGAUAAUAUUAUUAUUUUUAUAAAAAUCAAAAUCUCCUUCUUCUUCUUCUUCUUCUUCCUUUUAUACCGUCUGCCCCUCCCUAUUUUCGUGUAAACCCUAGCCGCCACACCCUUCGAGUUGCUUAGCGUCGUCUCCCGGCUGACCUAUUCCGUGCAACUUGCCUAACAGUGCCGUUCGUGAGCAUCGACAACCCAAACUGAGAUCUUUCCCUUCUCAGUCGUGUGUUCGUGCCUCUCCUCACCGCCGACUCUUUGCACCGGAGUUUCGCAUGCUUUCGCUCACGUCGCGUUGGUUGUCGUUGACUCUUAGCCGUCUGCAGGUGCCAGAUCUAAGGUUUUGUGCGUCCUCCUUCAUUCAUGGGUUCGGUGUCAUUGCCAAUUCGCCAAGUUGUCCGACGCCACUUCUUCGUCCGGCGACGCUUCUCUGUCUAGCACCGCCAAGCUCCUACUGCCGUUGUGGUUGCUGUCACAUCUCUUUUGGAAGCGAGAUUCAAAGGAUUUUGGGGACGUUGCUCAUCGAGAAGGAGACUGAUUUUCGAUCAUGUUCAUAUUGGUGUUUUGGUAUGAGUUUUAAAAUCUGCUAAGAGGAAAUUUUGGAGUCGAAAUCUUGCGAGUUUCGUUUGGGGGACUUAAUUCAAGGUUUAUUUUGUUGGAGAUCAUUAGCUUGAAUUAAUAUCUGAACUUGGCUUCGAGGUAAGAGUAGGGACGUGCCGGCGAAUGACAAGCGGAAUCCAUGAUCGAGCCACUAGGACCAGUUUUACCAGUUUUUAUGCUUCUGCUCAUAAGAGUUGGAUUUCCUUCAUGUUUUUGCUAAAUUUUUCAGUUUUGAUGUUUGAAACUUAUUAUUGAGAAUUGUUUUUCAUACUUAUUUAUUAAUCUUUAUGAUUUAUGGGUACCCUAUUAUUGUUUUUAA